rnacentral:rRNA from 1 species
GUGCCAGCAGCCGCGGUAAUACGGAGGGUGCAAGCGUUGUCCGGAUUUAUUGGGUUUAAAGGGUGCGUAGGCGGCCUUUUAAGUCAGCGGUGAAAGCCCGGGGCUCAACCCCGGAACUGCCGUUGAUACUGGAAGGCUUGAGUACAGACGAGGUAGGCGGAAUUGAAGAUGUAGCGGUGAAAUGCUUAGAUAUCUUCAAGAACACCGAUUGCGUAGGCAGCUUACUAGGCUGUAACUGACGCUGAGGCACGAAAGCGUGGGGAGCGAACAGGAUUAGAAACCUGGUAGUCC